rnacentral:rRNA from 1 species
CCCCCCUCUAAUUUAAUGAACCCUAAGAGCUUACUCCAUAAAUCAAAACAUUUUCACAUCUUAGUAAAGGCGAUUAAAAAAUUAUUAGGAGCUAUAUUAAUAGUACCGCAAGGGAAAGAUGAAAUAAAAAUGAAACAAAUAUUAAGCAUUAAAAAGCAGAGAUUCAAUCUCGUACCUUUUGCAUCAUGGUUUAACUAGUCAAAUUAAGCAAAACGACUUAUAGUUUAACCCCCCGAAACUAAGUGAGCUACUCCAGGGCAGCUUAUUGAGCAAACCCGUCUCUGUUGCAAAAGAGUGGGAAGACCUUCGAGUAGGGGUGACAGACCUAACGAACUUAGUGAUAGCUGGUUACUCAAGAAAAGGAUUUAAGUCCAACCUAAAGUCCCAUUAAUAUCUUUAAAUAAUUACAUUACUUUAGAGCAAUUCAGAUAAGGUACAGCCUAUUUGAAACAGGAUACAACCUCGAGAGACGGGUAACACUCACUCACAGUAAUUAAGUAGGCUUAAAAGCAGCCACCUUUAAGAUAGCGUCAAAGCUUCAUUACCUUUAUACCCAAUACCUUCUAUAAUCCAGAACCCUCCACCACUACUGAGUACUUCUAUACCAAUAUAGAAUAUUUUAUGUUAAAACUAGUAACAAGAAGCAGAACUUCACUUAAAUGCGAGUGUAAGCCAGAAAGGACACGCCACUGGCCAUUAACACCCCUGCAAACAAAUUAAUAACCUAACAAGAAAAAUUUAAUUUUUUUAACGUUAAUCUGACACAAGAGCAUUUCAAGUAAGAUUAAAAGAAAAAGAAGGAACUCGGCAAAUAUUAACCUCGCCUGUUUACCAAAAACAUCGCCUCUUGCCACCUAUAAGAGGUCCAGCCUGCCCAGUGACUCUGUUCAACGGCCGCGGUAUCCUAACCGUGCGAAGGUAGCGUAAUCACUUGUUCUUUAAAUGAGGACUAGUAUGAAUGGCAUCACGAGGGUUAUACUGUCUCCUUUUUCUGAUCAGUGAAACUAAUCUUCCCGUGAAGAAGCGGGAAUAAACGUAUAAGACGAGAAGACCCUAUGGAGCUUUAAACUCAAUAACACUUGCUUUUAAACAUGAACACUUCAGAGUAAUAAAUACCUAUUACGGCCUCCUGAUUAUUAGUUUUAGGUUGGGGUGACCGCGGAGCAAAAAACAACCUCCACAUUGAACGGGGAAAAAUCCCCUGAGCCACGAGCUACAACUCUAUGCACCAAUAAAUUGACAUUUCUUGACCCAAUAUAUUGAUCAACGAACCAAGUUACCCUAGGGAUAACAGCGCAAUUCGCCUCAAGAGCUCCUAUCGACAGGCGGGUUUACGACCUCGAUGUUGGAUCAGGGUAUCCCAGUGGUGCAGCCGCUACUAAAGGUUCGUUUGUUCAACGAUUAAAACCCUACGUGAUCUGAGUUCAGACCGGAGUAAUCCAGGUCAGUUUCUAUCUAUAAAGAGCUUUUUCUAGUACGAAAGGACCGAAAAAACAUGGCCCAUGCAUUAUGCAAGCCGUAUUUAAUAAUUUAUGACCCAGACUUAAUAAAUGUUUAAUCUAUAACAAAUCUCUAAAUAAGAGCAG